rnacentral:rRNA from 1 species
UUAUUAUAGUAAAAAAAAGUUAAUUUCAAAAGUAAAUGAAAUCAUUAAAUUUAAAUAAUUUGGCGGUAUUUUAAGUAGUUAGAGGAACUUGUUAAAUAAAUGAUAAUCCACGAUAGGAGGGUCUUAUAAUAAAUUUUAUGUAUUGUUGUUUAAGAUUAUUUUAAGAGAAAUUAAUUAUAAAUUUUAAUUUAAGAAUAAUUCAAAUCAAAAUGUAGAUUUUAUAAGAUUAAAUGAGUUACAAUUAAGAUGAUAUUGGAUUAGUGAUUUUAAAAAUUAUUAUGAGAGGAUUUAAUAGUAAAUUUAUAAAAUUAUGUAAAUUGAAAGUUAAAUAAAAUAUG